rnacentral:rRNA from 1 species
ACAUAUCAAUAAGCGGAGGAAAAGAAACUAACAAGGAUUCCCCUAGUAACGGCGAGUGAAGAGGGAAGAGCCCAAGAUUGAAAGCUGGCGUCUUCGGCGUCCGCAUUGUAAUCUCAAGAAGUGUUUUCCGCUUCGGACCAUGCCUAAGUCCCUUGGAAAAGGGCAUCAUAGAGGGUGAUAAUCCCGUACAUGGCAUGGAGCGCCCGAAGCUUUGUGAUACGCUUUCUAAGAGUCGAGUUGUUUGGGAAUGCAGCUCAAAAUGGGUGGUAAAUGCCAUCUAAGGCUAAAUAUUGGGGAGAGACCGAUAGCGAACAAGUACAGUGAUGGAAAGAUGAAAAGAACUUUGAAAAGAGAGUUAAACAGUACGUGAAAUUGCCAAAAGGGAAGGGUAGGAGGUCAGAGAUGCGUCUUGGGAUUCAGCCUUGCUUUUUGCAUGGUGUUUUUCCCAAGUUGCAGGCCAACGUCGGUUUUGGGCACUGGAGAAGGGUGGAAGGAACGUGGCACCUCUCGGGGUGUGUUAUAGCCUUCUACUGGAUACAGCGACCGAGACCGAGGACAGCAGCGUACUCGCAAGAGCGGGCCUUCGGGCACCUUUACGCUUAGGGCGUUGGCAUAAUGGCCCUCUACCACCCGUCUUGAAACACGGACCAA